rnacentral:lncRNA from 1 species
UGGGAAUCUGAUUUCUGAAUGCUCGAAAGUUUUGUGUCAGAAAUUGAUAAUUGAACACUAUAUUGAUUGUCUGUUCUCAUUUAAUGAUCUAGUGAAAAUUUCAUACGGAUUUAUAGACGUUUUGCAAUCUCUACUUCAUCAACAAAUGCUUUUGUAGAUCAAUUAAUUUAACCAAAGAUAAGUUUUCAUAUUGUUCAACUUGGUUUCGUUAACAUACUAUGUUGCAACAUAUGUUCAAAUAUAGAAUGCUAGUCAACGUGAUCAUUAUAUGGUAUAGCAUUCUAACUGACUCCAGUAGUUAAGCAAGCUAUACUCAGAUAUAUACGUUUUGAGGUAUUUCUCAAGCUAAGAAGCUUUUAUGAUGACUAAGGAAAAGGUUAAUAUCUGAACCAUCAGGCCACUAAAUUGACUAGCAUGUUUACGAUCACUUGGGUUAUUUCUCUUAAAUUGCUAUCUUUAGGCUCAACUAAGGAAAGAGGAGUAAGUUAAAAUGAUCACGCCUAUUAGAGAAAAAACUUGCCACCUUCUUUUUUCCCAAUCACAUAAACAUCUAUCCAUGUUGUUGCAAGAUUUCCACCAUUUACCAAUUUCUCUUUUGAUAGCUUCUACUACCGCUACAGACCUUCCUCUCUCCCUUAACUUAUGGUUAAGGACCACAACUCUGCAAGUAUAGCCACUAAAAUCACCAUUGCAGCUAUAUCUGCCAUCAUCCAAGCUUUGUAAACCAACCCCACUUGGCUACCUUCCUAUAAGGUAUUAUCCAUUUUUUAAUUGAAGGUGCAGAUUAUUUGCAUAAAUGAAACAUAUUUGAAGCUUGACUAAUGUGCUUAUAAGCUCAACUUGUUGAAUUGAGGAUGAUAAAUUACGCUAGAGCUCAAUAAUUUGAGCUUCUUCCUAAGUAUGGAAUCCACGGAUGGGGGAAGUUAUAAUAAAGUUCACAAGUCCUCAAAUUUUAAUGAUGGAAUAGAUGGAAGGUUAUGAACUUCCGUUUUGUGGUUUUGAGUGUAAUUUUAACACAUUCAUCACAUCUUCGCAAAUAUUGUACGAAAUAGUUGUAGCUGUGUAAAGACAGUAUGUAAUGAUAAAUUUAGCUCCUAUUUGUUUCCCAUUAUUUGGUUAUUAAAAUGAAAAAUAUGACCGUUAUCCAUCAUAUCAAGCCAUCAUAUUUGAAUUUUUAUCCCUUAUGUGGGAUCCGUAACAGCUAUAUUUUUCAUUCUCAUUAUUACAUUAAUGAGAAACAAACGGG